UUGUCUCAAAGAUUAAGCCAUGCAUGUCUCAGUACAAGCCAAAAUAAGGUGAAACCGCGAAAGGCUCAUUAAAUCAGUUAUGGUUCCUUAGAUCGUACACACAUUUACUUGGAUAACUGUGGUAAUUCUAGAGCUAAUACACGCAAACAGAGCUCCGACCAGAGAUGGAAGGAGUGCUUUUAUUAGAUCAAAACCAAUCGGCGGGCAGGCACUGCUGUCUGUUCGUCGCCCUAUUUGGUGACUCUGAAUAACUUUAUGCUGAUCGUACGGUCUUGCACCGGCGACGCAUCUUUCAAAUGUCUGCCUUAUCAACUGUCGAUGGUAGGUUCUGCGCCUACCAUGGUUGUAACGGGUAACGGGGAAUCAGGGUUCGAUUCCGGAGAGGGAGCCUGAGAAACGGCUACCACAUCCAAGGAAGGCAGCAGGCGCGCAAAUUACCCACUCCCGGCACGGGGAGGUAGUGACGAAAAAUAACGAUACGGGACUCAUCCGAGGCCCCGUAAUCGGAAUGAGUACACUUUAAAUCCUUUAACAAGGACCAAUUGGAGGGCAAGUCUGGUGCCAGCAGCCGCGGUAAUUCCAGCUCCAAUAGCGUAUAUUAAAGUUGUUGCGGUUAAAAAGCUCGUAGUUGAAUCUGUGUCCCGUGCUGUCGGUUCACCGCCCGCGGUGCUAACUGGCACGUCUCACGGGACGUCCUGCCGGUGGAAGACCAAUCGCUCAGUAUUGUCUGGGGUCUGUGCGUGCAUAACGCGCGUACAGAAUUCCCGGGUGCUCGGUGAUCCUUCCGACUUUUUUAAAUCCUGUCGCGGUGCUCUUAAUUGAGUGUCGAGGCGGGCCGGCACGUUUACUUUGAACAAAUUAGAGUGCUCAAAGCAGGCUAAAAUUUCGCCUGAAUACUAUGUGCAUGGAAUAAUGGAACAGGACCUCGGUUCUAUUUUGUUGGUUUUCGGAACCCCGAGGUAAUGAUUAAUAGGGACGGAUGGGGGCAUUCGUAUUGCGACGUUAGAGGUGAAAUUCUUGGAUCGUCGCAAGACGGACAGAAGCGAAAGCAUUUGCCAAAAAUGUUUUCAUUAAUCAAGAACGAAAGUCAGAGGUUCGAAGGCGAUCAGAUACCGCCCUAGUUCUGACCAUAAACGAUGCCAGCUAGCGAUCCGUCGAUGUUCCUCCGAUGACUCGACGGGCAGCUUCCGGGAAACCAAAGCUUUUGGGUUCCGGGGGAAGUAUGGUUGCAAAGCUGAAACUUAAAGGAAUUGACGGAAGGGCACCACAAGGAGUGGAGCCUGCGGCUUAAUUUGACUCAACACGGGGAACCUCACCAGGCCCGGACACCGGAAGGAUUGACAGAUUGAUAGCUCUUUCUUGAUUCGGUGGGUGGUGGUGCAUGGUCGUUCUUAGUUGGUAGAGCGAUUUGUCUGGUUAAUUCCGAUAACGAACGAGACUCUAGCCUGCUAAAUAGGCGUACUCUACCGGUAUCUCGAAGGCUCACAUCUUCCGUACUAACCGUACGUCUGUUCGUCGGUGUUUCAAUCGGUGUUCAUACACUGUGCGAGCAUUUUGCGGCUUCGUGCGGGCGGAAUGUUGUGGUUUUUACUACCGGCGUACAUUUUAAUCUUCUUAGAGGGACAAACGGCUUAUAGCCGUAUGAGAUUGAGCAAUAACAGGUCUGUGAUGCCCUUAGAUGUUCUGGGCCGCACGCGCGCUACACUGAAGGAAUCAGCGUGUCUUCCCUGGCCGAAUGGUCCGGGUAACCCGCUGAACCUCCUUCGUGCUAGGGAUUGGGGAUUGCAAUUAUUCCCCAUGAACGAGGAAUUCCCAGUAAGCGCGAGUCAUAAACUCGUGUUGAUUAAGUCCCUGCCCUUUGUACACACCGCCCGUCGCUACUACCGAUUGAAUGAUUUAGUGAGGUCUUCGGACUGGUACUCGGCCGGGGUUUCGACAU
rnacentral:rRNA from 1 species